rnacentral:lncRNA from 1 species
GUCAAAGCAAAUAAACGCGAGAGUAGUGAACAAGCACCAGACUUUGAAUUGGAUUUAAUUUCUAUUUUCUUUUAAAUAUUUUGAGCAUAUUGCAGUUUUACGUCUCUGGUGAACUGCAUCGACUUUUCCGAAACAGAUCGUUUUUACAGCUCUCUUGUCUGAAUGUUUAUUUUCGCUUUGUGUUUAACGUUAACGUACUCACAAAAUAUUCUGUUGCUGGACAGAAAUGCUUUUGGAUACAGAGGCGAUGUUUAUUACGACAGAAUAAGGAUUUGGGUUUUUUAUUCUUCAAUAAAUUAUUGCCCUAAAAAGUUCUGCAAUGGAGUUCACAGAUGAAGAGAAACUCUGGCUGCAAAGAUUAUCUGCUGAAAUACCUGAAGGAAAUGAACUCACUUCAAACGAAAAGCAGUUCUGGGAGAAAGCAAAGCCAGAGACUGAAUUUCUUGGCCAGUAUUUCCAGACAAUGGCCUCUAUACGAUUUGGACUGAAUGAUUUAGGCAGCACAGCCACAGCCAUGAAGAACCCUGUUCAUCAGAGAAGCUGCAUCGCUUCACCAUGUGGAUAAUCGCCAAACACCAAGAGGAGGACAUAUUUUCUUUUAGUUAUCUAACAUAACAUUCAGACUCCAAUAAUAAAAUAUGAAUAAAAAAAAUCAGCAUAUAAUGGUGAAAGCAGAGUAGCUUUUGGCACUUUGUAAUUAAGAUCGGUUUUGAUGAUCAUCUCCAGCAUUCUUACCUCAAUACAAAAAUUUAUUGGUGCCUGUCAGGUUUUGUUUUGUAAAGUAUGUACUACAAGAUGAUGUGACAACAGUGUAAAAUGUGUUUUCUCAGUUAAAGCUUCACUUUAAA